CUGAGAGGUUGAACGGCCACAUUGGGACUGAGACACGGCCCAGACUCCUACGGGAGGCAGCAGUGGGGGAUAUUGCGCAAUGGGGGCAACCCUGACGCAGCAACGCCGCGUGAAGGAUGAAGGUUUUCGGAUUGUAAACUUCUUUUAUUAAGGACGAAAAAUGACGGUACUUAAUGAAUAAGCUCCGGCUAACUACGUGCCAGCC
rnacentral:rRNA from 1 species